rnacentral:rRNA from 1 species
AUUGAACGCUGGCGGCAGGCCUAACACAUGCAAGUCGAGCGGGGUUUUCGGACCUAGCGGCGGACGGGUGAGUAAUGCGUAGGAAGCUGCCCGAUAGAGGGGGAUACCAGUUGGAAACGACUGGUAAUACCGCAUAAUGUCUACGGACCAAAGUGUGGGACCUUCGGGCCACAUGCUAUCGGAUGCGCCUACGUGGGAUU